AGAGUUUGAUCAUGGCUCAGAGCGAACGCUGGCGGCAGGCUUAACACAUGCAAGUCGAGCGGGCGUAGCAAUACGUCAGCGGCAGACGGGUGAGUAACGCGUGGGAACGUACCUUUUGGUUCGGAACAACACAGGGAAACUUGUGCUAAUACCGAAUAAGCCCUUACGGGGAAAGAUUUAUCGCCGAAAGAUCGGCCCGCGUCUGAUUAGCUAGUUGGUGAGGUAACGGCUCACCAAGGCGACGAUCAGUAGCUGGUCUGAGAGGAUGAUCAGCCACAUUGGGACUGAGACACGGCCCAAACUCCUACGGGAGGCAGCAGUGGGGAAUAUUGGACAAUGGGCGCAAGCCUGAUCCAGCCAUGCCGCGUGAGUGAUGAAGGCCCUAGGGUUGUAAAGCUCUUUUGUGCGGGAAGAUAAUGACGGUACCGCAAGAAUAAGCCCCGGCUAACUUCGUGCCAGCAGCCGCGGUAAUACGAAGGGGGCUAGCGUUGCUCGGAAUCACUGGGCGUAAAGGGUGCGUAGGCGGGUCUUUAAGUCAGGGGUGAAAUCCUGGAGCUCAACUCCAGAACUGCCUUUGAUACUGAGGAUCUUGAGUCCGGGAGAGGUGAGUGGAACUGCGAGUGUAGAGGUGAAAUUCGUAGAUAUUCGCAAGAACACCAGUGGCGAAGGCGGCUCACUGGCCCGGUACUGACGCUGAGGCACGAAAGCGUGGGGAGCAAACAGGAUUAGAUACCCUAGUAGUCC
rnacentral:rRNA from 1 species